GCUCCCUCGGAACCUUUCUGGCGCGAUACGGCGCGCUACUUAGCGCGUCACUUCCGGCGAGGCAGAGGAGGCGGGAGAGUGAGAGAAAGGCUGGAAGACGAGCCUGCAGGAUGUUUCCUCAGUGAGGGGAAGGCUGCUGCACAAUGGCAGUUUUUGAUACUCCUGAGGAGGCCUUUGGUGUCUUACGUCCAGUCUGUGUUCAGCUCACAAAGACCCAGACAGUGGAGAAUGUGGAGCAUCUGCAGACACGACUACAAGCUGUGAGUGACAGUGCCCUUCAGGAACUUCAGCAGUACAUCCUCUUCCCUCUGCGAUUUACCCUGAAGACCCCAGGUCCCAAAAGAGAGCGUUUGAUCCAAAGUGUGGUGGAAUGCCUCACAUUUGUCCUUUCUUCAACAUGUGUGAAAGAACAGGAGCUUCUCCAGGAACUCUUUUCAGAACUCUCUGCUUGUCUGUAUUCACCCAGCUCCCAAAAACCUGCGGCUGUGUCCGAGGAGUUGAAAUUGGCUGUGAUCCAGGGACUUAGCACAUUAAUGCACUCAGCUUAUGGGGACAUCAUUCUGACUUUUUAUGAGCCCUCCAUUCUGCCACGUUUAGGAUUUGCUGUAUCUUUACUGUUAGGCCUUGCAGAACAGGAGAAAUCAAAGCAAAUUAAAAUUGCUGCCUUAAAAUGUUUACAGGUUCUACUCUUGCAGUGUGAUUGUCAGGACCAUCCAAGGUCAUUGGAUGAACUUGAACAAAAGCAGCUGGGGGAUUUGUUUGCCUCUUUUUUACCUGGAAUCUCAACUGCACUGACCAGGCUUGUCACAGGAGACUUUAAACAAGGUCACAGCAUUGUUGUAUCUUCCCUAAAGAUCUUUUACAAGACAGUGAGCUUCAUUAUGGCUGAUGAACAGCUCAAAAGAAUCUCAAAGGUCCAAGCAAAACCUGCAGUUGAGCACAGAAUAGCGGAGCUGAUGGUUUACAGGGAAGCAGAUUGGGUAAAAAAGACUGGCGACAAGUUGACUAUCCUUAUUAAAAAGAUAAUUGAGUGUGUUUCUGUUCACCCACACUGGAAGGUGAGACUGGAACUGGUAGAACUUGUGCAGGACCUUCUUUUGAAGUGCAGUCAAUCAUUGGUCGAAUGUGCUGGUCCCCUUCUGAAGGCCUUAGUGGGACUAGUAAAUGAUGAGAGUCCUGAAGUCCAAGCCCAGUGCAAUAAAGUUCUGAGACAUUUUGCAGAUCAAAAAGUAGUGGUGGGCAACAAAGCCCUCGCUGACAUCUUGUCAGAAAGCCUGCAUUCCCUUGCCACAUCUCUUCCUCGCCUAAUGAACUCCCAAGAUGACCAGGGCAAAUUCUCUACUCUUUCCUUGUUACUUGGUUAUCUGAAACUCUUGGGCCCAAAAAUAAACUUUGUCCUCAACUCUGUGGCCCAUCUCCAGCGGCUUUCCAAAGCACUCAUCCAAGUUCUAGAGCUAGACGUGGCUGACAUCAAGAUUGUUGAGGAACGGCGUUGGAACUCUGAUGAUCUGAAUGCUUCUCCAAAGACCUCAGCCACACAGCCUUGGAACUGCAUCCAGAGGAGAUAUUUCCGCUUCUUCACUGAUGAGAGAAUCUUCAUGCUCUUGAGGCAGGUUUGUCAGCUACUUGGUUAUUAUGGGAAUCUUUAUUUGCUUGUGGAUCACUUUAUGGAACUUUACCAUCAAUCUGUGGUUUACCGGAAGCAAGCUGCCAUGAUCCUUAAUGAACUGGUUACAGGGGCUGCUGGGCUGGAGGUCGAGGAUCUUCACGAAAAACAUAUUAAAACAAACCCAGAAGAACUGAGAGAGAUUGUGACAUCUAUACUUGAAGAAUACACAAGUCAAGAAAAUUGGUAUUUGGUUACCUGUCUUGAAACUGAGGAAAUGGGAGAGGAGCUGAUGAUGGAGCACCCAGGCCUCCAAGCCAUCACGUCUGGUGAACACACCUGCCAAGUUACAUCUUUUCUAGCCUUCUCAAAGCCAAGUCCCACUAUUUGCUCCAUGAACAGUAACAUCUGGCAAAUAUGCAUUCAGUUGGAAGGAAUUGGCCAGUUUGCAUAUGCACUAGGAAAAGGCUUCUGUUUGCUCUUGAUGUCAGCCCUUUAUCCAGUACUGGAGAAGGCUGGAGACCAAACCCUACUCAUUAGUCAGGUGGCUACCAGCACCAUGAUGGACAUUUGCCGUGCUUGUGGCUACGACUCCCUGCAGCACCUGAUCAAUCAAAAUUCAGACUAUUUAGUGAAUGGGAUCUCUUUAAAUCUGCGUCAUCUGGCUCUGCAUCCUCAUACCCCAAAGGUCCUGGAAGUCAUGCUGCGGAACUCACAUGCUAACCUGCUUCCUUUGGUGGCAGAUGUGGUUCAAGAUGUCUUGGCCACCCUGGACCAAUUUUACGAUAAGAGAGCUGCUUCCUUUGUCAGUGUUCUGCAUGCUCUGAUGGCAGCAUUAGCCCAGUGGUUCCCAGACACAGGUAAUCUUGGGCACCUCCAAGAGCAAAGUUUAGGAGAAGAGGGAAGUCCUUUGAACCAAAGACCAGCAACUCUUGAGAAGAGCACCACCACAGCUGAAGACAUUGAACAGUUUUUGCUGAACUACCUCAAAGAGAAGGAUGUGGCAGAUGGAAAUGUCUCGGAUUUUGAUAAUGAAGAAGAGGAACAGUCAGUCCCUCCCAAAGUGGACGAGAAUGACACCCAUCCAGAUGUGGAGCCACCACUGCCAUUGCAGAUCCAAAUAGCCAUGGACGUGAUGGAACGCUGCAUCCACUUGUUGUCAGAUAAAAAUCUGCAAAUCCGCCUGAAGGUCAGUGCGCAGCUGCUUCUCUGCAUUCCCAGAGUAGCAGGACUAAGGUGUGGCCUGGUUGGCAGUGGCUACACGGAUGAGCACGUAGCUCCCCUUAUCUCCUGGUCCACGUGUGGUGGCCAAGAGAAGGCAUCAAAAGGAAUUUGUCUGUGGGGUGACAGUUUUACAUCUUUCUGUGUCUGCUGAGAUGCCAAAGGGAGCUAAGUCUCCUGCAUUAAAAACCACAAGUUUUGGGGAUUCACUGAAUCUCCAAGGAAAAGAAAGCCAUGUGCUUUGGAAAGGAUAUUAUUUUCUCAGCUAUGUAGGAUGCAGGUUUUAAUACUUUAAUGAGAUCAUUCUUCCAAGCCUGACACUAGCCCUUAUCUCUCUGUUUUCAUUCUAGGGAAAACUUGAACACUUCCUAAUAUAGACUGGCUUGCUGGCAGUUUGCCAAGCAGCACCCCCAUCAGCAAGGGCUGAAAGCAUGUAGUAGUGACUGCAAUAACAGGACACAGUGGGGUGGGGUAGAAGUGGGGGGCAGGGCUUUUAGAAUCACCCUGGAGAAGACCUUACACCCAAAGGGAGACAGCAUUCCUCCCUACCCCCAAGCAGGAGUGAGAAAUACAACUGUUGGCCAGGCGCAGUGGCUCACGCCUGUAAUCCCAGCACUUUGGGAAGCUGAGGUGGGCGGAUCACCUGAGUUGGGAGUUUGAGACCAGCCUUACCAACAUGGAGAAACCCCAUCUCUACUAAAAACACAAAAUUAACCGGGCAUGGUGGUGCAUGCCUGUUAUCCCGGCUACUUGGGAGGCCGAGGCAGGAGAAUCACUUGAACCCAGGAGGCAGAGGUUGUGGUGAGCCAAGAUCAUGCCAUUGCACUCCAGCCUGAGCAACAAGAGUGAAACUUUAUCUCAAAAAAAAAAAGAGAGAGAAACACAACUGCCUUAGUGACUCACUGUUAGUAAUGAGUGUACAUUGCCUUGCUCAGGGGUGAUGGGCUAGGAAACCCUGAUCCACAGAUUAUCUCAAAUCUCAGCGCCUGUGUUGUGUGGAGUUUGUUUAGUCUUCCCAAGACAGCUCUUAGCAUUCAUCUGUUGUUCCAUUCAGCAAGCACUUACCUUUUUACCUGCACGGCUUUAAUGUAGGUGCCUGGCUGAUACAUUCAACAUACUGCUGUAUAUCCUUCAAGACCUUCCUUUUUGUAGAGGAUUUGUAGCAGCUGUAUACAUACCAUAAUUAUUAAGAACAUCAGUGUUGGAGUCAGACCUACAUACCUGAGUCAGUCCAAAUCCUGUUUCUGCCUCUUAUUAGCCAUGUGACCUUGAGUAAGUUAAUUCAUCAUGUUGAGCCUUAGCAUCUUCAUCAGUAAAAUGAAGAUGAUGGUACCUACCUCACAGCGUUGUUGAUUAUAAAUAUAAAACAGCAUGAAAUAAGACACAUACACUCAUUCAUGUGCUAAAUGCUUAUUGAGGACUAGUGCAGGUCAGGCAGAGGAUGUGUAGAGGGGAUGAUGCAGACACAAUCCCUGUCUUCAUGGAACUCCCUGUCUUUUGUGGGGAGAGAGGCAAUACACAGACUCAUACAUAUUGGAGAAAGGCUGUCAAGGUAAUAGCACGUUCUAUUUGAUAGAAAAUAGUAAUUCACCCAUGCAGCAGAUACGUGUUGGGAACCUACUCAGUGCAAAACCCUGCUGACUAAGACAGAGCUUACCUUCUGAUUUAGCCUAGGUCAUCGGGGAAGGCCUCUCUGAGGUGGUAACAUUUCUCAAGGCUGAGAAGGAGGCAGCCCUGCAAAGGGGCAAGGAGAACAUUCCAGGCAGAGGGGAAAUGUGCAUCUUUGAGUCAAUGAAAUAUAAUGUAACUUGUCCCAUUAAUGACAGAGCUCAAAUUCCAAGCCUGUCAGUGAUACCAAAGCCAUUUCCACUCUGCUCCCCUGAUCCCCUGCUCCCCACUGUGCAGCUGAGCUUUCUCUUACUCCCUGGCCUAAUUAUUCACCCCUCAAUGGCAGGGUCUCUUCUGUUCCAGUCUCAGUGUGGACCAGCACAUAGUAGGCGCCCAGUAGGGUUUACUGCUUUGUGUUGGCCGGCUUCUCUCUGUCUUGCAGACUAACGAGUGCCUCGCCCUGUGAAGGUUGGGCGUCCAUGUGGGAGGGAAGCCUGCGCUGGCCGCCCACGCGGGAGGGAAGCCUGCGCUGGCCGUCAUACUGACCGCUGCCUGUGACACUGAUGCAGGCAGUCUCUUUUCAGUCUUGGAUGUGCUGGAUCUGUGUGUGGUUGUUCUUCAGUCCCACAAAAACCAGCUGCUUCCCUUGGCUCAUCAGGCCUGGCCCUCGCUCGUUCACCGACUCACACGGGACGCCCCCCUGGCAGUGCUUAGAGCCUUCAAGGUUUUACGUACCCUGGGAAGCAAGUGUGGUGACUUUCUUCGCAGCCGGUUCUGCAAAGAUGUCCUGCCAAAGCUGGCUGGCUCCCUAGUCACCCAGGCCCCCAUCAGUGCCAGGGCUGGACCAGUUUACUCGCACACGCUGGCCUUCAAGUUGCAGCUGGCUGUCUUACAGGGCCUGGGCCCCCUCUGUGAGAGACUGGACCUAGGUGAGGGUGACCUGAAUAAAGUGGCUGAUGCCUGCUUGAUUUACCUCAGUGCCAAACAGCCCGUGAAAUUACAAGAGGCUGCCAGGAGCGUCUUCCUCCACUUGAUGAAGGUGGACCCAGACUCCACCUGGUUCCUCCUGAACGAGCUUUACUGCCCCGUGCAGUUCACACCUCCCCACCCCAGCCUCCACCCCGUGCAGCUGCACGGGGCCAGCGGGCAGCAGAACCCCUACACGACCAAUGUGCUCCAGCUGCUCAAGGAGCUGCAGUGACCCUGCUCCCCCACCACAGAGGCCACCGAUCCCUCCCCUACUGCCAGCCAGAAGCUGGGCUGACCCCACCCCGGCCAUAGGCGGUGGCAGCGGCAGCAGAGAAGGUGAAUUAGUUAGCCAAUCGAUUUAUAAAUUGAUCGAUCACACAACUGCUUAGAAAUGGAUUGAAGGAAAGUAGCUGACUAUUAUUUAUAUUUCAUACCUUGUGUUUUCAAGUGACAUUGUCUGGUGGCUCUAAGGGUUUAACUCCUUAGCCUACCAUCUCUAUAGCCCCAGCUCCCUCACAGGCCACACACACACACACACAAGAGGUCAGUUCCCCUCCAUCUGCAUACACCUCCCUGUCUUCAAAUAAUGAGAUGGAACUAAUUUGUUUUACCUAACCUGAUCUUUGGGAAACAAACGGAAAUAAAGACACUUCUUGGAUUAAAAGUA